rnacentral:rRNA from 1 species
UACGGAGGGGCUAGGCGUUGUUCGGAAUUACUGGCGUAAAGGCGCGACGUAGGCGGCUUUGGUAAGUUAGAUGGAUGAAAGCCCGGAGCUCAAAACCUCCGGGACUGCCUUUAAGAACUCGGCAUCGCUUAGAACGUCGGAGAGGUAAGUGGAAUUCCGAGUGGUAAGAGGGUAGAAAUUCGUAGAUAUUCGGAAAGAAACACCAGUGGCGUAAGGGCGAACUUA